UACGGAGGAUGCAAGCGUUAUCCGGAAUGAUUGGGCGUAAAGCGUCCGCAGGUGGCUAUGUAAGUCUGCUGUUAAAGAGUGAGGCUCAACCUCAUAAGAGCAGUGGAAACUACAUGGCUAGAGUGCGUUCGGGGCAGAGGGUAUUCCUGGUGUAGCGGUGAAAUGCGUAGAGAUCAGGAAGAACACCGGUGGCGAAAGCGCUCUGCUAGGCCGCAACUGACACUCAUGGACGAAAGCUAGGGGAGCGAAUGGG
rnacentral:rRNA from 1 species